AUUUAUAUAGUAUAAUAGUAUAUUUGACUUCCAAUCAUAAGGUUUAAUCUUAAAUUAAUAUAAAUA
rnacentral:tRNA from 1 species